rnacentral:rRNA from 1 species
CCUACGGGUGGCUGCAGUGAGGAAUAUUGGUCAAUGGGCGCGAGCCUGAACCAGCCAAGUCGCGUGAGGGAAGACGGUCCUAUGGAUUGUAAACCUCUUUUGUCGGGGAGCAAAAGAGGCCACGCGUGGCGUUCCGAGAGUACCCGAAGAAACAGCAUCGGCUAAAUCCGUGCCAGCCGCCGCGGUAAUAGGGGGGAUGCGAGCGUAAUCCGGAUUGAUUGGGUUAAAGGGGAGCGCAGGCGGAAGGUCAAGUCAGCGGUAAAAUUGAGGGGCUCAACCUCGUCGAGCCGUUGAAACUGGUUGUCUUGAGUGAAUGAGAGGAGUGCGGAAUGCGUGGUGUAGCGGUGAAAUGCAUAGAUAUCACGCAGAACUCCGAUUGCGAAGGCAGCAUACUGGCGCUCAACUGACGCUCAUGCACGAAAGUGUGGGUAGCGAACAGGAUUAGAUACCCCUGUAGUC